UACGUAGGGGGCCAGCGUUGCUCGGAAUUACUGGGCGUAAAGGGUCCGUAGGCGGUGUAGCAAGUCGAUAGUGAAAUCUCUGGGCUUAACCCAGAGGCUGCUAACGAAACUGCUGUGCUAGAGUGUGAGAGGGGCGAGUGGAAUUACGGGUGUAGCGGUGAAAUGCGUAGAUAUCUGCAGGAACACCCGUGGCGAAGGCGGCUGACUGGAUCGCAACUGACACUGAGGAACGAAAGCUAGGGGAGCAAACAGG
rnacentral:rRNA from 1 species